GCCGGAAUCAUCAUCUUCAUCGGUUUCUUCCAUCUCGGGCAUUGUCAAUGGAUAGUGAUCUCUGCAAAAUCCUUGUCAAAUAUACAAAUGCGGAAUGUUGAAUUCCCUUCAUAUCCGAAAACUAACGAAUGACAGCAGUCUAGAGAGUAAAACUUUGAGAACUUUGGCCAACCCUCGCCGAACCAGACCUCACCCUCCCAUAUUCUGAAUUAUAUUUUCCACUCUGAACCAGUUGGAAGCUUAAUAAAUACUGGAUUCGAAAGAUCAUCUCCAUAUUUCCUAAAAAAUUUGUUUGGAAUCCUCUGCACAACACAGAACUUAUCACGAAACUCUUUGUUUAGUGAAAACAAUUAUCGGAUCUUUGUGGCUAUGAAAUAUAUGGGUACAUUAACUGCAUCAAAUCCCAUUAAGUCAGACUCUUCAUUGUGAGAGGGGUUAAAUACUUUGGUGCCAUUUGAUAACCAUUUCAUUUUCAUCAAGGUAUUGAAGAGAUUUCAUGUGACAAAUGCUGCUUGGAAGACUCUCAAGUUCUCUGCAAUCAUUCAGCCUCAGAGUAACAAGAUUGGUGAGAUUUAAAACUGACGCAGGCAGCUCCUCAAUUGCAGUGCCACCCAAAUAAAGCUCAGACAACAUAUUCAUAACCUCUGAAAUUUCUGGAAAUUUCUCAAAGUUUUGAGGACCCAGAAACACAAGGUAUUGAAGAGAUUUCAUGUGACAAAUGCUGCUUAGAAGACUCUCAAGUUCUCUGCAAUCAUUCAGCCACAAGUGUAACAAGAUUGGUGAGAUUUAAAACUGACGCAGGUAGUUCCUUAAUUGCAGUGCCACCCAAAUAAAGCUCAAACAACAUAUUCAUAACCUCUGAAAUUUUUGGAAAUUUCUCAAGUUUUGAGGACCCAGAAACACAAGGUAUUGAAGAGAUUUCAUGUGACAAAUGCUGCUUGGAAGACUCUCAAGUUCUCUGCAAUCAUUCAGCCUCAGAGUAACAAGAUUGGUGAGAUUUAUAACUGACGCAGGCAGUUCCUUAAUUGCAGUGCCACCCAAAUCAAGCUCAGAUAGCAUAUUCAUAACCUCUGAAAUUUCUGGAAAUUUCUCAAGGUUUGAGGACCCAGAAACAUCAAGGUAUUGAAGAGAUUUCAUUUGACAAAUGCUGCUUGGAAGACUCUCAAGUUCUCUGCAAUCAUUCAGCCUCAGAGUAACAAGAUUGGUGAGAUUUAAAAUUGAUGCAGGCAGUUCCUUAAUUGCAGUGCCACCCAUAUAAAGCUCAGAUAGCAUAUUCAUAACCUCUGAUAUUUCUGGAAACUUUUUAAGGUUUGAGCACCCAGAAACAUCAAGGUAUUGAAGAGAUUUCAUUUGACAAAUGCUGCUUGGAAGACUCUCAAGUUCUCUGCAAUCAUUCAGCCUCAGAGUAACAAGAUUGGUGAGAUUUAAAAUUGACGCAGGCAGUUCCUUAAUUGCAGUGCCACCCAAAUAGAGCUUAGAUAGCAUAUUCAUAACCUCUGAAAUUUCUGGGAACUUCUUAAGGUUUGAGCACCCAAAAACAUCAAGGUAUUGAAGAGAUUUCAUGUGACAAAUGCUGCUUGGAACACUCUCAAGUUCUUUGCAAUCAUUCAGCCUCAGUGUAACAAGAUUGGUGAGAUUUAAAACUGACGCAUGCAGUUCCUUAAUUGCAGUGCCACCCAAAUAAAGCUCAGAUAGCAUAUUCAUAACCUCUGAAAUUUCUGGAAACUUCUUAAGGUUUGAGCACCCAGAAACAUCAAGGUAUUGAAGAGAUUUCAUGUGACAAAUGUUGCUUAGAAGACUCUCAAGUUCUCUGCAAUCAUUCAGCAAUAGCGUAAGAAGAUUGGUGAGAUUUAAAACUGACGCAGGCAAUUCCUUAAUUGCAGUGCCAUCCAAAUAAAGCCAAGACAGCUUAGUCAUAACCUCUGAAAUUUCUGGAAACUUCUCAAGAUUUGAGCAUCCAGAAACAUGAAGGUAUUGAAGAGAUUUCAUUCGACAAAUGCUGCUUGGAAGACUCUCAAGUUCUCUGCAAUCAUCCAGCGUCAAUGUAACAAGAUUGGUGAGAUUUAAAACUGACACAG
rnacentral:lncRNA from 1 species